CCUAACAAUUCUGCUAUAAUUAUUUAUACAACUUUAAGGAUAAUCACCUGGAAAGAAACAAUUAAAGUGAACAUAACAAGGCCUUUCUGCUUUGCCUCCACUUUUCUGGUGGCAAAGCUGGUUCCAUCACGCUCCCGAUGUACUUGA
rnacentral:rRNA from 1 species